GCAUCAAUGGGGUAGUGGUAACCUGGGUCGUUGCCAUUGAUUGAUGUGCCGGUUUAUACGUAUUUCGAUCCGCCGGUGGUUCGAUUCCCACUUGAUGCA
rnacentral:tRNA from 1 species